GACGAACGCUGGCGGCGUGCUUAACACAUGCAAGUCGAACGGAAAGGCCCCGCUUUUGUGGGGUGCUCGAGUGGCGAACGGGUGAGUAACACGUGAGUAACCUGCCCUUGACUUUGGGAUAACUUCAGGAAACUGGGGCUAAUACCGGAUAGGAGCUCCUGCUGCAUGGUGGGGGUUGGAAAGUUUCGGCGGUUGGGGAUGGACUCGCGGCUUAUCAGCUUGUUGGUGGGGUAGUGGCUUACCAAGGCUUUGACGGGUAGCCGGCCUGAGAGGGUGACCGGCCACAUUGGGACUGAGAUACGGCCCAGACUCCUACGGGAGGCAGCAGUGGGGAAUAUUGCACAAUGGGCAGAAGCCUGAUGCAGCAACGCCGCGUGCGGGAUGACGGCCUUCGGGUUGUAAACCGCUUUCGCCUGUGACGAAGCGUGAGUGACGGUAAUGGGUAAAGAAGCACCGGCUAACUACGUG
rnacentral:rRNA from 1 species